rnacentral:tRNA from 1 species
AUUUAAAUAGUUUAAGAAAAAUACUAGUUUGUGGAACUAGAGAUAUAGGUUUUAUUUUAAAUA